AGAAGGGGAAGAUGUUUUGUGUCCUUGCAAGGAAAAGAGGCCAUUAAAAGAAGGGACUUUCAACAUUUUUCUGCUUUCCUUUCUCACAAAGGCUUUCUCAGUAUCAACAGUUUAAAGAUUUUCAACUGUGAAUUCUCGUGGCUACCAACCUGUUCAGCCGAGGCAUGGACAUUGAGCAGGGCCAGAGGUUCAUCUUCACUGGGACAGACACCUAUUCCAUGUACGGAUCUUCUUUUCCAGUCCUCAGAACUUUAGCCAGCACCGCUACCUGGUGGCCAUUGAAAUUCCUGAUGCACAGACUUGGAAUUGCUCUUAGCAGAGUAUCCGACCAGGGGCCAGCUUCACAGUGAAGGAGGUGCAGGCUGGGCCAUGACCAUGAGAUCCACCUGUCAUAUCACAAUCUGCACCACCCAGGGGCUGCCGGCCACACAGAAUGCUGGACAGGCCUUCUGAAGAUGCAACUAAAGCUCCAACUUUGAGGAAACAUCUUGAAGGGAUGGGGUUACAUCUUUCUGGAUGCAGUGUAUUAUUAAAUCAGAGACCUUUA